UACGUAGGGGGCUAGCGUUGUCCGGAAUCAUUGGGCGUAAAGCGCGUGUAGGCGGUUCGGUAAGUCCGCUGUGAAAGUCGGGGGCUCAACCCUCGAAUGCCGGUGGAUACUGUCGGGCUAGAGUGCGGAAGAGGCGAGUGGAAUUCCUGGUGUAGCGGUGAAAUGCGCAGAUAUCAGGAGGAACACCAAUUGCGAAGGCAGCUCGCUGGGACGCUACUGACGCUGAGACGCGAAAGCGUGGGGAGCGAACAGG
rnacentral:rRNA from 1 species